rnacentral:ncRNA from 1 species
AGCAAGGACUAACCCCUGUACCUUUUGCAUAAUGAAUUAGCCAGAAACAAUUUCACAAAGAGAACUGAAGCCAAAUUCCCCGAAACCAGACGAGCUACCCAAAAACAGCUGAAAGAGCGCACCCGUCUAUGUGGCAAAAUAGUGGGAAGAUUUCUGGGUAGAGGUGACAAGCCUACCGAGCCUGGUGAUAGCUGGUUAUCCAAGAUAGAAUCUUAGUUCAGCCUUAAGUUUACCCACAGAAUAACCCAAUCCCUCUGUAAACUUAAUUGUUAGUCUAAAGAGGGACAGCUCUUUAGACACUAGGAAAAACCUUACAUAGAGAGUAAAAACCCCCGUCACCAUAGUUGGCCUAAAAGCAGCCAUCAAUUAAGAAAGCGUUCAAGCUCAACAUCAACUACCGAAAAAAUCCCAAACACAUAACUGAACUCCUCAAAUCACAUUGGAUUAAUCUAUCACCCCAUAGAAGCAAUAAUGCUAGUAUAAGUAACAUGAACUCUCUCUCCCUACUGCAUAAGCCUAAAUCAGACCAAAACCUCACCGAUACUUAACAGCCUAGUAUUGAUAAACAUAAACAAGCUCAUACUACUCUUACUGUUAAUCCAACACAGGCAUGCUUUUAAGGAAAGGUUAAAAAAAGUAAAAGGAACUCGGCAAACUUAGCCCCGCCUGUUUACCAAAAACAUCACCUCUAGCAUUACUAGUAUUAGAGGCACUGCCUGCCCAGUGACACACGUUUAACGGCCGCGGUACCCUGACCGUGCAAAGGUAGCAUAAUCACUUGUUCUUUAAAUAGGGACUCGCAUGAAUGGCAACACGAGGGUUCAGCUGUCUCUUACUUUUAACCAGUGAAAUUG